rnacentral:rRNA from 1 species
GACGAACCGUGCGAACGUUGUUCGGAAUCACUGGGCUUAAAGGGCGCGUAGGUGGGCUAUCAAGUCCGGGGUGAAAUCCUCCAGCUCAACUGGAGAACUGCCUCGGAUACUGAUGGUCUCGAGGAGGAUAGGGGCACACGGAACUGUGGGUGGAGCGGUGAAAUGCGUUGAUAUCCAUAGGAACUCCGGUGGCGAAAGCGGUGUGCUGGAUCCUUUCUGACGCUGAGGCGCGAAAGCCAGGGGAGCAAACGGG